GAUGAACGCUGACAGAAUGCUUAACACAUCAGCAAUGGAGUGGUGGCGGAUGGGUGAGUAACGCGAAAAGAACUUGCCUCACAGCUAGGGACAACAUUUGGAAACGAAUGCUAAUACCUAAUACUGUGAGAGAGCUUUGCGUCCCAUUCGCUAGUUGGAGAGGUAACGGCUCACCAAGGCGAUGAUGGGUAGCCGGCCUGAGAGGGUGAGCGGCCACAAGUGGAAUGAGACACGGCCCUUACUCCUCCGCGAGUCAGCAGUGGAGACUAUUGAACCAUCGCCCCAAGUCUAUUCCAGCAAUUGUGUGUGAACGAUGUAGUUUUCGGACUGUAAAGUUCUUUCAGUUGGGAAGCGGUACCAACAUAAGAAGCGACGGUUAACUACGUGCCAGCCGCCGCGGUAAUAC
rnacentral:rRNA from 1 species